GACGAACGCUGGCGGCGUGCUUAACACAUGCAAGUCGAACGCUGAAGGCCUGGCUUUUGUUGGGUUGGAUGAGUGGCGAACGGGUGAGUAACACGUGAGUAACCUGCCCUCUUCUUUGGGAUAACGCCCGGAAACGGGUGCUAAUACUGGAUAUUCACUGAUCUUCGCAUGGGGGUUGGUGGAAAGGUUUGUUCUGGUGGGGGAUGGGCUCGCGGCCUAUCAGCUUGUUGGUGGGGUGAUGGCCUACCAAGGCUUUGACGGGUAGCCGGCCUGAGAGGGUGACCGGUCACAUUGGGACUGAGAUACGGCCCAGACUCCUACGGGAGGCAGCAGUGGGGAAUAUUGCACAAUGGGCGAAAGCCUGAUGCAGCGACGCCGCGUGAGGGAUGGAGGCCUUCGGGUUGUAAACCUCUUUCGCUCAUGGUCAAGCCGCAACUGUGGGUUGUGGUGAGGGUAGUGGGUAAAGAAGCGCCGGCUAACUACGUG
rnacentral:rRNA from 1 species